rnacentral:lncRNA from 1 species
CAAGAACAGCUUUUCAUCUGCUUUGUCAGAACAUCAUUUAAAUAGCUACGUUCUGUUAAUGCACAGUAGUUAAAUAAACUCCAAGAUUCUUAUUCUGCAAUAACCCAUUAAAUCAUCUUAAAUACUAUGUCAUAAUGACAACUUAAUGCAACCAGAUGUGAUAUUUGGGGAUUAAAAAAAUACUUUUCUAAAGACAUAGCUUCCUGAUUUUACAUUCUCAAGCCCGUUUGCACAGCUGUUAAAUCUCUUGGCUCUACUUUCUAUGGGUGUAUAUCACUUAUGUUCUGCUUCAUGCAUGACAUUACUGAAGUGCAAAGGAGUGUUCCCCAGGACAUUGUGAUACGUACUUGUGUGAUAUCUGCAUCAGCGUAAUUUUGUUUUCAAGGCAUGAUUUUCUCCCUUUUGAAAGGUGCAAAUAAAUUGGAUCGUGUGUCGACAUGAGAGCGCUAAUAACAGGUCUUGCAAGGUGUCCCAUGGUCUGAGAGUCAUGGGUAGCAGCCAGUGCUUUGUACCUAGUUUCUUGUUGUGAAGAUGUAUGUGAUGGAAACUGAUACUGAGCACAGAAAUGAUGGGAGUGGGAAAUGGUUUAGGAGAAGACACUGUAGUAGUAAAUGGAAAAGGAAAGGAGAUUGGAUUGGAUUUUGAAUCUGCCAUCUGCCAAAGGCUAACAGCAUGCUGAGUGCUUGUGCUUGUGGAAGGACUUGACCAUUCAGCUGUGUUCAAGCAGAAACUCUUCAUCACAAGGUCUUCUGGUGCAGGAGGAACAAAGACUAACACUUUAGAAAGACACUUGCUUUAGUGUGACAUAAAACCAUAAAUUAAGCUUUAAUUUGGCAACUGCUUUUCAAAGAAGAGCUUCAUAAAUCAUCACGCAUCCUUAUCAUCCUGUGCUUUAAUUUUUAAUGGCACACAUAAUGAAAUCAACAAAACAAAUGUGGUAAGAGAAGGCACAGAAAUCAGAUGAGAAUAUGGGAAAAAAGGAAGGCACUCAUGAGCGAUCCAUGUAUACUGUGCAGGAAGGUAGCGGGGAGGGAGGGAGGGAGGACUUGGAAGGCAGAAAGAAACUAAAAACCUCCUGAUGUGAGCAGUGGAAUCACAUGCAUUUUGAUAAAAGGGUCACAUGUUAAAAUGUGAUUUUAAGAUUAAUCUGCUAGAACAAUGCAAUAUUAUUGUUUCUUUUCCAGACCACCUGAAAACUCAGAUCAAAUGGAGUAAUGAUUUGAAAUUUAGUUGACCCUUUCCUUUUGGUCUUAACACUUUCCCAAAUAGUCUUGUAUAAAGUUCAUAAACUUUUCUUUUUGAAUUUGUGCUUGUAUUUCUUUUUCUUUCCCAAAUAUUCAUAUUGAGAUUUUUACCCUGCAACCACGGGGUUAAGCAGAACACAUUAUUUUAUUUUCUUCUUCAGUGAGUGUGUCAAUUUGAACAAGACUGGCCAAAUUGCUUUCUUUCUUUCUUUUUUCUCCUAAAUCAAACUGUCUAUUCUGAAGAGGAGCACGUUGUGGUUCUAUUAAACAAAAUAACA